rnacentral:rRNA from 1 species
CAGCAGUCGCCACGGGAAUACGUAGGUGGCAAGCGUUGUCCGGAAUUAUUGGGCGUAAAGGGCUCGCGGGCGGUUUCUUAAGUCUGAUGUGAAAGCCCCCGGCUCAACCGGGGAGGGUCAUUGGAAACUGGGAAACUUGAGUGCAGAAGAGGAGAGUGGAAUUCCACGUGUAGCGGUGAAAUGCGUAGAGAUGUGGAGGAACACCAGUGGCGAAGGCGACUCUCUGGUCUGUAACUGACGCUGAGGAGCGAAAGCGUGGGGAGCGAACAGGAUUAGAUACCCCUGUAGUCCCUGUCUCUUAUAC